GAGGUGGUGCAUGGUUGUCGUCAGCUCGUGUCGUGAGAUGUUGGGUUAAGUCCCGCAACGAGCGCAACCCUCGACCUUAGUUGCCAGCAUUCAGUUGGGCACUCUAAGGUGACUGCCGGCUAAAAGUCGGAGGAAGGUGGGGAUGACGUCAAAUCAUCAUGCCCCUUAUGACCUGGGCUACACACGUGCUACAAUGGGCGGUACAAAGGGUCGCGAACCCGCGAGGGGGAGCCAAUCCCAAAAAGCCGCUCUCAGUUCGGAUUGCAGGCUGCAACUCGCCUGCAUGAAGCCGGAAUCGCUAGUAAUCGCGGAUCAGCAUGCCCGCGGUCCGAAUACGUUCCGGGCCUU
rnacentral:rRNA from 1 species